rnacentral:miRNA from 1 species
AGCAUGUUAAAAUGCAGAUUUGUCUGGAGUGGGGCUGGAGAUUCUGCAUUUCUAACAACUUCCCAGGUGAUGCCAA